GUCAGUAGGUCAGCAGGAUGGUCAGUACGAUGGCCAGUAGGUCAGUAGGAUGGUCAGUGGGUCAGCAGGAUGGUCAGUAGGUCAGUGGGAUGGUCAGUAGGAUGGUCAGUAGGUCAGUGGGAUGGUCAGUGGGUCAGCAGGAUGGUCAGUAGGUCAGUGGGAUGGUCAGUAGGAUGGUCAGUAGGUCAGUGGGAUGGUCAGUAGGUCAGUGAGAAGGUCAGUAGGUCAGCAGGAUGGUCAGUACGAUGGUCAGUAGGUCAGUAGGAUGGUCAG